rnacentral:tRNA from 1 species
GGGGGUUUAGCUCAGCGGCAUAAGCGCCUGCCUUGCAAGCAGGCAGUCCUGAGUUCGAUACCCGGUACCGAUA